UCUCGAAAAGGCAAACCUCGAGCAAUCGGGGGACGCAAAGCCACGGGCCUUACAGAAGGCAGCCGGGUUGCCGAAA
rnacentral:ncRNA from 1 species